GGAGCUGCUCGGAGUUGAAAACCUUUUCCUUCUUUUUGGGGCUAUAGCUUUGUUGUCACUGUUGUUCACCAUAGUCUUUGUCCCAGAAACUAAAGGUUUGAGCUUGGAAGAAAUUGAAUCUAAAAUCUUGAAGUGAAAGCUCACAACUGUUGGAAACUUCUGUUGUAUGUUUCCAGCAAACAAAAAAUUUAUGGGUAGUUUGUCAGCAUAUCUAGUUGUGGUGUAGGAAGGUGAUUGAAUGCAACCUCAACUACGUAUUUGUGAAUAUCAUAUCAUGUGGAAAUUAUGUAUUUUAGAAGCUGUUUGGUAAAUAAGAAUAUCCAAUGUAUAUUCUUAUUUACCAAACAGCU
rnacentral:misc_RNA from 1 species